rnacentral:rRNA from 1 species
ACGCUACGUUCAGACGUUUGAUCCUGGCUCAGGAUGAACGCUAGCUACAGGCUUAACACAUGCAAGUCGAGGGGCAGCAUGGGCUUAGCUUGCUAAGCCCGAUGGCGACCGGCGCACGGGUGAGUAACACGUAUCCAACCUGCCGAUCACUCCGGUACAGCCUUUCGAAAGAAAGAUUAAUCCCGGAUGGCAUGGCGAUUCCGCAUGGUUUCUCCAUUAAAGGUUUUUUCCGGUGAUCGAUGGGGAUGCGUUCCAUUAGUUAGUUGGUGAGGUAACGGCUCACCAAGGCAUCGAUGGAUAGGGGAGCUGAGAGGCUUAUCCCCCACAUUGGGACUGAGACACGGCCCAA